AUCAGCUAUUAGUAAAUAACAUUGUUCAAGUUUGACUGGAAGCCAGGCAGCAGUGGGAGUUGAGCAACAAGAUAUACCAUAUGCGGUGUGUGUGGAUGAACACAGGAGAGGAUUGAACAACGGGGAAUGAACUAAUAGAAUGCUUCAAGCUUGCUGGAAGAAGAGCUUGGGGAGAAAACUUAUUUUGAGGGGCGAAACAUAGGGUUCGUGGACGUAAAACUUCUGCCCUUCUAUAAUUGGUUCUACGUGUUUCAGACAUUUGGGAAGUUCAGCAUGGCAGAAGAGUGCCCUAAGCUGAUGGCAUGGGCCAAAGAGGUGCAUGCAAAAGGAGAGCGUGGCCAAGGUCCUGCUUGACCAACAAAGGGUUUAUGAAUUUGUUCUAGGGCUUACGAAGAAGCUUGGGCUUCCAUAAUAUUAUAAUAUAAUAAGUUAAGCCAACAUGCAGUGCAGUAGCUAGGCUUGAUAUAUGGAUUGAGGUGGGAGUUAAGUUUAUGAAUGCAUACGAGAGUGUUUGUGCAUCUUUGCCCCUUGCCCUCUUGUCGGUUAAUUUCUUUCUUUCUUUAAUGUGUUUUAUGCACAAGUGAUGAAUAGCAAUUGUGUUCUCCUUGUAUUCUCUCACUUAGUUCAUGCAUGUUUGUUUUCUUCGUGUCUAUUGAAUUGAUCUUGUGUUCAAA